AAAUUGUCAAUACUAAAAUUUUAGUUUGCUAUGUCCAAUAACACCGAUUUAUGAAAUUGUUAUCAAUUAUGCAGUUUAUUGUUAUCAACUAUCAGUGAGUACAACAUACAAUCACUAUGAAAAAAUAUUCUUCAUAUAUUGGUAUACUACGUAUUGUAUAUUGAAUAGCAUAUUUUUUUGCCUGGAAGAAAAAAAAAAUGGAUAAAUGAUAAGUUUAUGAUGAAGAAAAUUACCAUGAGUGAAACAAAAAGAACGAACACCGUGAGAAUUAAUAUAGGAGCAAUCGAAGUCUUCAUUCUCGGAAAUAUCGUUCUUGCUUAACGGUCGAACAAUAGUGAUAUAGAAGAA
rnacentral:lncRNA from 1 species